ACCGACCCACCCCACCACUUUCCCUUUCUCCUUUCACUUUUCCCAUUUUCCUCUCCUUCGACAAUAGCUUCUCCUCUAAAUCACUUCUUCAUCAAUUUCUUUCUUCUUCACCAAAGAGCUACACUAAUACCCACCAUAAACUACAAGUAUUUGAAGAAGAGGCUUGAUGGUUCACAUGGGAAGCUUUUGGGUCAGUUUUGGGUGCUAGGGAUUAUGCUCUAAGAGAGGAGAAGUUUACCCACCCCAUAAAGAGUAUUCACUUAAGCUCAAUGAGAUUUGCCAACCACGAACUCAUCCGGGCAUCUUGAAGUUGUUGGGAGCACUUCUCUUGAUCCUUCAUAGUUAUUCGCAGGCAGCUGUGUAGGAGGCUGCUUCAGUUGUAGAUUGUACAGUUACUUCCUUUUUUGUAGGCCUCCUUUGAUUGGUGGCCAUGGUGAUGUUUUGUUGAUCUUUUUGGUAUUCUGCAACUAUAAGGAAUAUGUAAUAGUCAUAUUUUGUAAAGUGUAAAAAACUUGAUGUACUUGAUGAUGUUAACUCUUGGAUAGUGGACAUGUUUAUAUUUAGAUCCUUGGCUGGAUUUUGAACCUCAUUGGCAGGUCUUGAUAUUUUGGGAAAUGAAGAAAUACAAAGGAAACUCUGUCCAAUUAUUGUUAAA